AAUUUAAGUUUUUUUACAAAUCAAUAAUUUCUUACUAAUUCCACUAGUGCACUUAUAUUCUCAAUUGGUGUAUCGGGAAGCACACCAUGCCCUAAAUUAAAAAUAAAAGGUAAAUCCCUAAAAAAAUCUAGUAUAUGUUUGGCUUCUUCUAUAGCCUGUUCCUUAUUAUAAGCCAAAAGACUUGGAUUAAGAUUGCCUUGUAUUGGAAUUUUCAAGUUCAUUUUAGCCCACUCUAACGGAACAUU